rnacentral:rRNA from 1 species
AAUGAACGUUGGCGGCGUGGAUUAGGCAUGCAAGUCGUGCGACAGGCCCGCAAGGGCGCUGAGCGGCGAAAGGGAGAGUAACGCGUAGGUUAUCUACCCUCAGGACCGGGAUAGCUACGGGAAACUGUAGGUAAUACCGGAUGAUGUCUCCGGACUAAAGGUGUGAUUCCGCCUGUGGAGGAGCCUGCGUCCUAUUAGCUAGUUGGUGGGGUAACGGCUCACCAAGGCGAAGAUGGGUACGGGAUGUGAGAGCAUAAUCCCGCUCAUUGGGACUGAGACACUGCCCAGACACCUACGGGUGGCUG